rnacentral:rRNA from 1 species
AUUGAACGCUGGCGGCAGGCCUAACACAUGCAAGUCGAGCGAGCGGCGGACGGGUGAGUAAUGUAUGGGGAUCUGCCCGAUAGCGGGGGAUAACUACUGGAAACGGUGGCUAAUACCGCAUACUAUCGGAUGAACCCAUAUGGGAUUAGCUAGUAGGUGGGGUAACGGCUCACCUAGGCGACGAUCUCUAGCUGGUCUGAGAGGAUGAUCAGCAACACUGGGACUGAGACACGGCCCAGACUCCUACGGGAGGCAUCAGUGGGGAAUAUUGCAGAAUGGGCGCAAGCCUGAUGCAGCCAGGCCGCGUGUGUGAAGAAGGCCUUCGGGUUGUAAAGCACUUUCAGCGAGGAGGCGUUACUCGCAGAAGAAGCACAGGCUAACUCCGUGCCAGCAGCCGCGGUAAUUC